GAUCAUGCUCAGGAUGAACGCUAGCGGCAGGCUUAACACAUGCAAGUCGAGGGGCAGCGGGGUGUAGCAAUACACUGCCGGCGACCGGCGCACGGGUGCGUAACGCGUAUGCAACCUACCCAUAACAGGGGCAUAACACUGAGAAAUUGGUACUAAUUCCCCAUAACAUUCGAAGAGGCAUCUCUUUGGGUUGAAAACUCCGGUGGUUAUGGAUGGGCAUGCGUUGUAUUAG
rnacentral:rRNA from 1 species